AGCUAGAAUAAUUUCUACACGUGGGUGUCAGGAAAGAAGGAGCUGCUCUGCCCCUGGUUCAGCUGCUGCCGGCAUACUGCAGCUGCCCCGCUCGGGGGUACUGCUGCGCACUGGCGGGCUCUGAGACGAGCUGCGCAAAGAGUCAGAGGACCGAAACCCGCCGAUGGUGAGAGCGCUGCGGAGCUCUGCCUGCUCCAUUCAGUUUGCUACAGAGACCUGAUCACAGUCUCCAAGUGCCUGCAGGGAGAGCAGCGGGACGAUUAGAGAAUGCCCUUCAAGCUACCAGAAAGCUCUUUAUGGCUCGAGGAUCCUCCGUGUCCACAAUGCCRCUUUGCUCAACACCGUGGGGAGGACGGUGGUCGUGGCCCAAGGUGGGCAGGCGCGAGCGGGGCRGCGGCGGCGGCUCGGGGCAGCUCUGUCGGAGAAACACGGUCCCACCUCUGCGCGGGGAAGGGAUUUUGCCGAGUUUGAAUUGACCAAGACCUGGGACCUUCAGAAGCGAGAGCCGGUCCGUGUAAGACCCUGCAGUUCCCGCUGGGGCCUGGCGCUCUCGCUGACCGUGGAGAUGGGCCGGAGAAACCAGGCCCAGCACCAGCACCGUGCCUGGUGCCCGGGGGGACAGGAGACCGCAGGCCCCGGUGGCCCGUCCUGCACAGACCCUGCUGAGGGCCGGUGCUGCCGCACACGAGCCCUGUUCGCCGCAGGGUGGGAUUUCAGCAGCCGACCGGGUGCACUGCAUGUCUCCGAGCGGCAGCACCUCCCCUGCCAGCACGGAACGGCGUUCCGCUAGGAAACAUUCCCCCCAGAAUUGUCCUCAAAAUACAAUACAGUAAGAGCUAAUACAAGAGGGUAGCAUCAGUCUGGAAUAUCACCGCUCACAGAGCCUGAGGAGCUGGAAUUGCCCCUGGAGGCGCGGGGCACCGGCUGCCUUCCGGGCUCUUCGGCGCUGGUCUCACUUGCAGCCCUGUCCUGCCCUCGAGCGCCUGGGCGGCUGCAACGUCCAGCUGCCUGCUGGCAAACAAACACAGCAGAUGGCUCUCACCUUGUCUCCAGUUUUUAAUUUUGUGACAGACCUACGCAGAACAUACAGCUGCACAAAAGGGAGAACUGGAAUGAAGCAAGUGAGAGCUACGAAUGGGAGCCAGCAUCUUCUGUGCGUCAACUCAAAGUGCCACAAGACACCUUCACCUUUAUAGUGCUGGAUUCGUUCCUCACCUCUGUCGCGUUUCCUCCUUCAAUAAAAUGAAUGCGGUGACAUUUUGUUUGUGCA
rnacentral:lncRNA from 1 species